rnacentral:rRNA from 1 species
AGUGACCUUAGCGAGGGUGGUACACCCGUUCCCAUUCCGAACACGGAAGUUAAGCCCCUCAGCGCCGAUGGUACUGCCUGGGCAACUGGGUGGGAGAGUAGGACGUUGCU